rnacentral:rRNA from 1 species
UACAGAGGGGGCAAGCGUUGUUCGGAAUUACUGGGCGUAAAGGGCGCGUAGGCGGCCUGUUAAGUCGAACGUGAAAUCCCCGGGCUCAACCCGGGAACUGCGUCCGAUACUGGCAGGCUUGAAUCCGGGAGAGGGAUGCGGAAUUCCAGGUGUAGCGGUGAAAUGCGUAGAUAUCUGGAGGAACACCGGUGGCGAAGGCGGCAUCCUGGACCGGCAUUGACGCUGAGGUGCGAAAGCCAGGGGAGCAAACGGG